rnacentral:lncRNA from 1 species
AAACGUCCUUUUACAACAAGGAAAAAGAGAAGAAACCCACCUAGAGAAAGAUUAAGGAGGUGAUUAAAGAAAAACCUGCGAUUAGCUUCUUCUUAAUUUAUUUGUUUCCUCAUUGAAACGCCAAUUAGAAGAAUGGAAUGGUCCCCAAAAUAUGCUGCAAAUGCAUAUCUUGACACCCUCAAGUUGGUAAGUCUUCCUUUUAUAUAUAUAUAUAUAGAGGUCUCUUGCUUUUUUCCUCCUUCUGUUUCCCUUUUUCCAUUUCCAUAUUUGAGCACCAUGCUGCGCAUUAUAAAUAAAUUGCAUCAUGAUCACCUCCAUUAUAAUUAAUUUCCCCUAGAUGAUUUAUUUUUUUGUUGGCUUGUUCUGCUGUUGUGGUAUAUAAAUUCUUCAAUUUUAACGAACAAAAUCCGUGAUUCCUGAAACAUAUAAAUAGGUAGUUGAGGGUUCAGGCUUGACAUAUUACUCGUGAUAUUUAUCUUUACUGCAUUCUUGAUUAUGAUGCAAACAAAUAUAUAGAAGCAUAUACUCUAUCUUAAGAGAGAGAUAUUUUCUCAUAAAAAAGAAAAUAUGUUCCGAUCGUAAACACCUUAGAUAAAGCAUUGAUAAUAACCAUCUGACAUUGGCAGUAUCUUUUACAAUAUUUAAAAUAUGAUCCUAAAGGAAACAUUUUCGAAUUCACGUAAUUAAAUAGAGGAUACAUUCUUCAAUCUCCUUCUCUUUUUCUUUUUAAAAUAAAUUACCUUGAAUAGGUGAGGGUUUAAUUUGCUUAACCCUUUUCAGCUUAUUAACUAAAAUAGAAGAGAAAUACACGUGAUUAGCCUCAUAACGUCCAUAGUGAAUCACAUGAGGUCUUUUUGAUAUCUAAGCUUUCACAAAAAGGAUAAACUGCACAUGAUCUACUAUAAUCUCAUGAGAAAGUUCUGUAAUUUCUUUAAAUAUCCUUGGAGAUUGUAGUUUUUGACCACCAUGCAAUUCUGCUACCAUGUUCCCUAUCUAUAAUGAGACGAUAUAUAUAAGGUUCUUUUUUUUUUUUAUAUGUGAAUACCAAACAAAAGGUAAAUAAAGAGUGAGUUUUAAGGUGUAAAAUUUUGAAAAAUGUAUUUUUUUUUUGCUGCUCCUAAAAAUAAUAGUUGAAAAUACAGUUUUUUUUUUGUAUAUAUCUGAAUUAUAUACAAAAAAUAUACACAAUUUGUUUCAGUCAACCGACCUGCUUUGCCCUAAAAUUUGACUAAUCAGAUCAUUUAUUUACAAUAUAACUACACAUUGAGAAACAAGGCAGACAACCUGCGUUAUAACAAGUUAAACAACAUUGAUAGUGAUAAAAAGUUUUCCUAAUAUUUUUUACAGUGUAUAUAUAAGUUGAAUCCAUAACUGUCUAUCCCUUUACCAUAUGCAUUCUUCUGCAGUGUAGCAAACACAAGCAGAUGUGCAAUUCAUGCGGAACACAAGAACCAGAGUGCAACG